rnacentral:lncRNA from 1 species
CAGGAAGUUCCCUCUUUUCCCCUCCGAUCCUGCUCCAGUGGCACAAUGUGAUCCACCAGCAAGGAGCAUCCUGUGACAGCAUCCUGUGAGUCCCACCAGAAUCAAUUUCAGAGGCAAUGAUAGAAGAUUCCAGCAGCUUCCGCUUUCACCGGAAACAAAGGAUUUCUCUGUGUAGCUUUGUAGAUCAAGCUGGCCUCAAACUCACAUAGAUCCACCUGCUUCUGACUCUGGAGUUCUGGGAUUAAAGACCUUGAGAUGAACAGAACAUGGAAUGACCCACCACAGGAUUAACUAUGACCAAGCAACAGUGAUGGCCAUCUUAGAGAACAGCUAACAUAUGACACCACUUCAAAAGCAGAAACAUUGCUUAGGAAACAAGCAGCAGAUGGAGGGAUUUCUCUGUAUUGUUUUGGAGCCUGUCCUGGAACUCGCUCUGUAGACUAGCCUGGCCUCAAACCUCACAGAGAUCUGCCUGCCUCUGACUCCUGAGUGCUGGGAUUAAAGGCCUUGGUGUUCACAGAAGUGGUGUCAUGCUGAUUCCAAAAGAAAGGUGGCAUAGGAGAUACAGUCUCACAGAGACAUGUUCUUUCACUAUCUUGCUGGUAUUUUCCUCCACCAAGUACAAUCCACCUGUCUACUUCCAAGAAGGACCUUAUCUUUUUAUGAGAGAACCAGUUCUCCUCUUCUAGCUUUAUCACAUGCCAUGUCCUCUUCUAGUGCAAGCACUUCUGUGGAAUUGACUCAAUGGGUUUUAACAUCUGAGAAUGAAGUCCCUCAUCUGACAGUCAAUGCUAUCCAGGCUGAAGUCUCAAAUCCUCAUAACUUUGAACACAGAAUAAAAUGAGUGUGCUCUAAAAUAAGUGUGAGGAGUCCUUCAUCUGAUAAUGCAGCUUCUUUGGCAUAUUUGACAUAGUUAUUCCUUCAAACAUUCUUCUUGGGACUGUUUAGAAUUAAUAUCAUGGAAAUACGAAGUAGGAGGUUCCUUUCAGUAUUUCACCCAUCUCACAGGGUUGAAAUUAAACUGUGGGUUUGACCAAGGUCGUUGGCAGUGCACAAAUGAACAGAACCACACUCUUUAGAGUCAGAACAUUUUAUUUAUGUAACCUCUAGUGAUGAAGGACACUUUUGUCAAUCUGUUUCAUUAAGACUAGGCCUGUUUAUCUUUAAACAUAUUUUCCUUAGUGCCUUGGUCUUCCUGUGCCAAUCGGUGUUCACUGAGUAUAAUGAAGGACACUUAACAAAGGAAAAUUAUUCAUCUAUUCAAAUGUGGCCUGUGUAUCCUCAUGUGUGUUCUUUUGUUUGCAUCAUUCUUUCUCUAGAAUGCUUGGUCC